rnacentral:rRNA from 1 species
GGGACCUGAUGCAGCCAUGCCGCGUGUGUGAAGAAGGCCUUCGGGUUGUAAAGCACUUUCAGUUGUGAGGAAAAGUUAGUAGUUAAUACCUGCUAGCCGUGACGUUAACAACAGAAGAAGCACCGGCUAACUCCGUGCCAGCAGCCGCGGUAAUACGGAGGGUGCGAGCGUUAAUCGGAAUUACUGGGCGUAAAGCGCACGCAGGCGGUUUGUUAAGCUAGAUGUGAAAGCCCCGGGCUCAACCUGGGAUAGUCAUUUAGAACUGGCAGACUAGAGUCUUGGAGAGGGGAGUGGAAUUCCAGGUGUAGCGGUGAAAUGCGUAGAUAUCUGGAGGAACAUCAGUGGCGAAGGCGACUCCCUGGCCAAAGACUGACGCUCAUGUGCGAAAGUGUGGGUAGCGAACAGGAUUAGAUACCCUGGUAGUCCACACCGUAAACGCUGUCUACUAGCUGUUUGUGACUUUAAGUCGUGAGUAGCGAAGCUAACGCGCUAAGUAGACCGCCUGGGGAGUACGGCCGCAAGGUUAAAACUCAAG